UAGGGAAUCUUCCACAAUGGGCGAAAGCCUGAUGGAGCAACGCCGCGUGUGUGAUGAAGGGUUUCGGCUCGUAAAACUCUGUUGUAAGAGAAGAAUGACAUUGAGAGUAACUGUUCAAUGUGUGACGGUAUCUUACCAGAAAGGAACGGCUAAAUACGUACCAG
rnacentral:rRNA from 1 species